rfam:Nematostella vectensis strain CH2 x CH6 NEMVEscaffold_452_Cont27651, whole genome shotgun sequence.
GUUGGGGAGGCCGAGUGGUUAAGUCGUUGGAAUAGAAAUCCAAUGGGAUCUUCCCGCGCAGGCCCGAAUCCUGCUCGCAACG